AUUGAACGCUGGCGGCGGGCCUAACACAUGCAAGUCGAACGAGUGGCGGACGGGUGAGUAAUGUCGGGGACACUGCCUGAUGGAGGGGGUUAACUACUGGAAACGGUAGCUAAUCCCGCAAACCAUCGGCUGUGCCCAGAAGGGAUUAGCUAGUAGGUGGGGUAAAGGCUCACCUAGGUGACGAUCCCUAGCUGGUCUGAGAGGAUGACCAGCCACACUGGAACUGAGACACGGUCCAGACUCCUACGGGAGGCAGCAGUGGGGAAUAUUCCACAAUGGGCGAAAGCCUGAUGCAGCCACGCCGCGUGUAUGAAGAAGGCCUUCGGAUUGUAAAGUACUGUCAGCGGGGAGGCGUUACCCGCAGAAGAAGCACCGGCUAACUCCGUGCCAGCUGCCGCGGUAAUUC
rnacentral:rRNA from 1 species